GGAAUAUUGCACAAUGGGGGAAACCCUGAUGCAGCGACGCCGCGUGAGUGAAGAAGUAUUUCGGUAUGUAAAGCUCUAUCAGCAGGGAAGAAAAUGACGGUACCUGACUAAGAAGCACCGGCUAACUACGUGCCAGCAGCCGCGGUAAUACGUAGGGGGCAAGCGGUAUCCGGAUUUACUGGGUGUAAAGGGAGCGUAGAAGGUGAUGCAAGUCAGAAGUGAAAGCCCGGGGCUCAACUCCGGGACUGCUUUUGAAACUGUGUAACUGAAGUGCAGGAGAGGUAAGCGGAAUUCCUAGUGUAGCGGUGAAAUGCGUAGAUAUUAGGAGGAACACCAGUGGCGAAGGCGGCUUACUGGACUGUAACUGACGUUGAGGCUCGAAAGCGUGGGGAGCAAACAG
rnacentral:rRNA from 1 species